GACGAACGCUGGCGGCGUGCCUAACACAUGCAAGUCGAGCGAGGAGGAGGAAGCUUGCUUCCGAACCCUAGCGGCGGACGGGUGAGUAACGCGUGAGCAACCUGCCUCAAACAGGGGGAUAACGCAUCGAAAGAUGUGCUAAUACCGCGUAAGACCACAGCACCGCAUGGUGCAGAGGUCAAAGGAGCAAUCCGGUUUGAGAUGGGCUCGCGUCCGAUUAGCUAGUUGGUGAGAUAACAGCCCACCAAGGCGACGAUCGGUAGCCGACCUGAGAGGGUGAUCGGCCACACUGGGACUGAGACACGGCCCAG
rnacentral:rRNA from 1 species